CCUACGGGUGGCUGCAGUGAGGAAUAUUGGUCAAUGGGCGAGAGCCUGAACCAGCCAAGUCGCGUGAAGGAUGACGGCCCUACGGGUUGUAAACUUCUUUUGUCAGGGAGCAAUUGAGUCCACGUGUGGGCUUAGCGAGAGUACCUGAAGAAAAAGCAUCGGCUAACUCCGUGCCAGCAGCCGCGGUAAUACGGAGGAUGCGAGCGUUAUCCGGAUUUAUUGGGUUUAAAGGGUGCGUAGGCGGAAUAUCAAGUCAGCGGUAAAAAUUCGGGGCUAAACCCCGUCGUGCCGUUGAAACUGAUGUUCUUGAGUGUCGGAGAGGCAAGUGGAAUUCCUGGUGUAGCGGUGAAAUGCGUAGAUAUCAGGAGGAACACCAGUGGCGAAGGCGGCUUGCUGGACGAUGACUGACGUUGAGGCUCGAAAGCGUGGGGAGCAAACAGGAUUAGAUACCCUAGUAGUC
rnacentral:rRNA from 1 species